rnacentral:rRNA from 1 species
GAUGAACGCUGGCGGCGUGCUUAACACAUGCAAGUCGAACGGAAAGGCCCAAGCUUGCUUGGGUACUCGAGUGGCGAACGGGUGAGUAACACGUGGGUGAUCUGCCCUGCACUUCGGGAUAAGCCUGGGAAACUGGGUCUAAUACCGGAUAGGACCACUUCUUGGAUGUUGUGGUGGAAAGUUUUUUCGGUGUGGGAUGAGCUCGCGGCCUAUCAGCUUGUUGGUGGGGUAAUGGCCUACCAAGGCGUCGACGGGUAGCCGGCCUGAGAGGGUGUACGGCCACAGUGGGACUGAGAUACGGCCCAGACUCCUACGGGAGGCAGCAGUGGGGAAUAUUGCACAAUGGGCGCAAGCCUGAUGCAGCGACGCCGCGUGGGGGAGGACGGCCUUCGGGUUGUAAACUCCUUUCGCUAGGGACGAAGCGUUUUGUGACGGUACCUGGAGAAGAAGCACCGGCUAACUACGUG